rnacentral:sRNA from 1 species
UUACGUCGUUAACGGCUUGGGUCAUGGC